rnacentral:rRNA from 1 species
UACGAAGGGGGCUAGCGUUGCUCGGAAUUACUGGGCGUAAAGGGUGCGUAGGCGGGUCUUUAAGUCAGGGGUGAAAUCCUGGAGCUCAACUCCAGAACUGCCUUUGAUACUGAGGAUCUUGAGUUCGGGAGAGGUGAGUGGAACUGCGAGUGUAGAGGUGAAAUUCGUAGAUAUUCGCAAGAACACCAGUGGCGAAGGCGGCUCACUGGCCCGAUACUGACGCUGAGGCACGAAAGCGUGGGGAGCAAACAGGG